GACGUCACUAAAAUCACCGAUAAUGAGAUCAAAAUUAAUCCAAGAUGGCCGACAGCAAAUUAUUUUAAGUCAAAAUAUUUGAAGUAAUAAUAAAGUUACGCAAAAUCGGCAAAGGAGAUUAACAUAUAAUUUUAAAAGUUCUUUAAAAUAAAAUAAUAAAAAUAUAUAUUGCCGUAUCCCUUUAAGAACGUAAGGGAAAGUACAUCUAUUACACCGAGGGAGGGGGAUGAAGAUGUCUUGAAAAAAGCUCAUAUUUUUACAGGGCCUCUGUUGAGGUUAUCGGUAAAUUUCGAUGCCCCCCUCCAAGUUUUUAAAAUUCGGAAUCGAAGGAGUACAAUCCAGAAUUCUCUCUUAUCAUAGAUACAAUUUGCAGUUCCUCAAGAUGUCUGAUAUACUCAAGCAUUGGGUCUGGGGGUCCUCACCCAGAAAAUUAUUACAUUUUUGAAGCUCUAGGACUGAAUUUCUGGCGUUUUCUAAAGCAAAUUUCGCAAACAAAUUGCAUGUAAAUUGACUGUAUUUUACAAAAAUAGUUAUCAUUUCACAAAAAUAAUUACUUUAUUACGCAAAUUUUACCUGAAAAUGUAAAAAUUUUAACUUUAAUUUGCUGGGGUCAAACCUUUGAAAAGUUUAGAG